rnacentral:misc_RNA from 1 species
GAUGAAGAACGCAGCGAAAUGCGAUAAGUAAUGUGAAUUGCAGAAUUCAGUGAAUCAUCGAAUCUUUGAACGCACAUUGCGCCCGCUAGUAUUCUGGCGGGCAUGCCUGUCCGAGCGUCAUUUCAACCCUCAAGCCCCCGGGCUUGGUGUUGGGGAUCGGCGAGCCUCAGCGCCCGCCGUCCCCUAAAUCUAGUGGCGGUCUCGCUGUAGCUUCCUCUGCGUAGUAGCACACCUCGCACUGGGAAACAGCGCGGCCACGCCGUUAAACCCCCAACUUCUGAACGUUUGACCUCGGAUCAGGUAGGAAUACCCGCUGAACUUAAGCAUAUCAAUAAGCGGAGGA